rnacentral:rRNA from 1 species
CCUGACCUCGAUUCGAGCGUGAAUACCCGCGACCUAACAA